UACGUAGGGUGCGAGCGUUGUCCGGAAUUAUUGGGCGUAAAGAGCUUGUAGGCGGUUUGUCGCGUCUGCUGUGAAAAUCCGGGCUCAACCCCGGACUUGCAGUGGGUACGGCAGACUGGAGUGUGGUAGGGAGACUGGAAUUCUGGUGUAGCGGUGAAUGCGCAGAUAUCAGGAGGAACACCGAGUGGCGAAGGCGGUCUCUGGGCCAUACUGACGCUGAGAGCGAAGACAGUGGGAGCGAACAGG
rnacentral:rRNA from 1 species